AGCGCUGUGGCUCAGUUGGUUAAAGCGCCUGUCUAGUAAACAGGAGAUCACAAGUUCGAAUCUCAUCGGUGCCA
rnacentral:tRNA from 1 species